rnacentral:rRNA from 1 species
AGUGGGAAAUUGCCAAUGGGCGAAAGCCUGAUGCAGCCAUGCCGCGUGCGUGAAGAAGGCCUUAUGGAUGGAAAACAGUUUUAUUACGGAGGAAAAUAAACUUGCUAAUACCUGCUUGGCUGGACNUUACUAGUAAAAGAAGCCCCGGUUAACUCCGUGCCACCAGCCGAUGUAAUA